rnacentral:rRNA from 1 species
GUCGAGAAUCUUUCACAAUGGGGGCAACCCUGAUGGAGCGACGCCGCGUGGAGGAUAAGGUCUUCGGAUUGUAAACUCCUGUCAUGCGUGAACAAGGUUGCUUGGUUAAUACCUGGGCAAAUUGAUGGUAACGCAAGAGGAAGAGACGGCUAACUCUGUGCCAGCAGCCGCGGUAAUACAGAGGUCUCAAGCGUUGUUCGGAAUCACUGGGCGUAAAGGGUGCGUAGGUGGCGUGGUAAGUCAGAUGUGAAAGCCCGGGGCUCAACCGCGGAACUGCAUCCGAUACUGCCAUGCUAGAGUACUGGAGAGGUGACUAGAAUUCUCGGUGUAGCAGUGAAAUGCGUAGAUAUCGAGAGGAAUACCAAAGGCGUAGGCAGGUCACUGGACAGUUACUGACACUGAGGCACGAAGGCCAGGGGAGCGAACGGGAUUAGAAACCCCAGUAGUCC